AGUGAACGCUGGCGGUAGUCCUAACACAUGCAAGUCGAACGGCAGCACAGUAAGAGCUUGCUCUUACGGGUGGCGAGUGGCGGACGGGUGAGGAAUACAUCGGAAUCUACUUUUUCGUGGGGGAUAACGUAGGGAAACUUACGCUAAUACCGCAUACGACCUACGGGUGAAAGCAGGGGAUCUUCGGACCUUGCGCGAUUGAAUGAGCCGAUGUCGGAUUAGCUAGUUGGCGGGGUAAAGUCCCACCAAGGCGACGAUCCGUAGCUGGUCUGAGAGGAUGAUCAGCCACACUGGAACUGAGACACGGUCCAGACUCCUACGGGAGGCAGCAGUGGGGAAUAUUGGACAAUGGGCGCAAGCCUGAUCCAGCCAUACCGCGUGGGUGAAGAAGGCCUUCGGGUUGUAAAGCCCUUUUGUUGGGAAAGAAAAGCAGCAGGUUAAUACCCCGCUGUUCUGACGGUACCCAAAGAAUAAGCACCGGCUAACUUCGUG
rnacentral:rRNA from 1 species